UCCUAUUUGGGUUUUUAUUGAGAUUAAAAAAACAUCAACAAAUAAAACAAAUAUUGACAUUUCACUUUAUUACAGCAAACUUUCCAAAUAUUUUCUCUGGAACAAAACUCAAACUCACAUUACCCUCAAAUUAAUGUUAGGUGGCUUCACAGACCUAUUUCUAAUUACAGAGAUAGAUGCACUAUGUUUUACAAUAUGUAUGUUUUUAUCUGUAUAGUGCAACUGCAUUGUCAAAAACAUUACAAGAUAAGAACAUUGAAUUAAUCGAAACAGCAUAGGAUAAGAGCAGACCAAGUUGAAAACAUGAAACUGAAAGAAACUUGUUACAGGAACGUGAAAUCAUACAAAUUAUAGAUUUUGCUGUGUACCUCAAUUACGAUUUUUAUAUGACAGAAAUUGCAAAGUUGCAAUGCAGUAUGAACUGAUAUUGUCAUGCACACAAUUCAUUAAAGAAAUUAAUAGCAGGCUAGAAGACAUGUUUAACAUACAUGCAAUCUUGAACAACAUUUACAUACAACUUCGCCCAGUCUGUGAAACCAAGCCAUCCACUUCAGGUGAAAGCCAGGUAAUAAAAAACAUGUAAAAAUAGUUGAUAGCUAACAGAUAAGUCUUAAAAAUAACUAUGAGUAUUGAUGUUUAGUGAAUUACAAGGAUGAUACUAGCUAACAAAAAACCCUCACAGUAGACAAUAACUAUACAUCUUCUGGGAGAUAUCUUAGUGAUGAUUGGAUUGGAAGUUUACAGUUACCGUCUUGACUCCACAAGGUGAAGUAUGCAAUGAAUCAAGUGAAAUAAAGUGCAACUAUGUUUAAUGGCACCGUCCCAAAUGGCACCUUAUUCCCUUUAUAGUGGUCACAUGUGGCUCAGUUGGUAGAGGAUGGUGGUAGAGCAUGGUUUGCAACGCCAGGGUUGUGGGUUUGAUUCCCACGGGGGACCAGUACGAAAAGAAGAAAAAAAAUGUAUGAAAUGUAUGCAUUCACUACUGUAAGUCGCUCUGGAUAACAGCGUCUGCUAAAUGACUAAAAUGUAAUAGUGCUCUACUUUUGACCAGGGUCCGUAGGCUCUGGUCAAAGUAGUGCACUUUAUAGGGAAGAGGGUGCCAUGACAGUGACACUAACAAAAUCUGUAUCGAAACAAAGAUAGCUGGGAAGAAGUUGUUACAUUCAAAGCUUUGGCAAUUAAGAGAAAUAAAAUUACAAGACAUUAGCAUUUUGAAAAUUGCAGACCCUCAGGAGAGAUAAGACAACAAUUAAAAGUAUGUUAUUUAUUUAUUACAAGAAACAAAACACUGAUUUAACCCAUUUUAGCUUCUUAUUUACCUAUAUGAGUAAAUAGACAAUUGAUUCAUACAUUCAUGAUCUUUCCCACAUUGUAACAUUUUGGAUGGAGAUGAAGGAACAUCUCGGUAAAAGCUCAAUGAGAAUAUCAUGACCAAAAGGAUGCGCAUGGAAUUAGAAACCGUAUCCAAAUGGGAUAAGUCUGCACAGACCAAUAUAUUAACAACUGUCAAUGAAAUUGUCUUCACAUCAUUCAAGCUAUGAAGGGGAAGAAAAAAAAAUGACAUGGUUUCCACAAAGCAUCAAAAAUAAUAGCAAGAGCAAAUAGACACGUAGGUUAAUUGAGAAAACUAAAGAGUUGGGUAAGAGCUAUCCCACUAGUAAAAUGUUAAAAACAUGUCCAUUCAUCCUACAAGAUGCUACUGAUAUUUUGUGUUUCCCGGCAACAAGGUAUGUUGUCUUGUUCAGUCUGCUCCACCUAGGUUCCUUUUACUUUAGAAACCUUUUUGGUUGAGCCAGGCUUCCUGCCUCCGCCUCUUAGAAACAACCCCCACCUUCUUUAUGAGCUGCCGCCACCUUACCAGGUUUGCUAGCCUUGUGACAACCACUGUGUGGUUUUAUUUCCUCUUCAAAUUGGACACAAGUCUUCGUCCUCAUCUCUCUCUGCAUCUUCAUUUUCCUCCUUCUCUGAAUCACAAGUUGUAUAAUCAACUUUCACAGAUGUUCUCCUGCCUCUUCGCCUCUGGGCUUGGAAGGCAGCUUCAUCUAACACAUUUGCUUUACCAUUGGUGCAGCGGUAAAGCUUUACUAUUGGAGAAACAGUGCACCCCUGUUUGGCUGGGGGUGCACUAUUGGACCUAUGCUUCUCUGCUGCUCUCUUGGCUUUGUUUGCUUGUACGGAGCCUAAGGGGCGGCCCCUCUUUUGCGGGGAACCAUCUAUAACGGGUGGCUUGGAAACUUUAGAGGUUGGAGGUGGGUUCUUCCGUAAGUGGGCACCUCUCCCCAUUGUUGCCUUGCGUGGACGGCCUCUUGCCCGUGGCUCAGCAGAGGUGGCUGGGGGAUCCAUGUAGGGGUGGAUGCGCGGCCUUCCGAGAGGCUUCCACACUCUUGAUCCCUUAGGUUGGCUUUUCAGUUUCUUUCUCUCUUCUUCCUCCUCGGUUGGUAGCGGGUUCUUCCUCGGCCUACCCAUUUUUUUUGUUUGUUUAACAUUUUGGGGCCGGCCAUGCUUCAGAGGUGCAGUUGGCUCUGCUGAAACAGCAUUAGGGUCAACCACUUUACAUGGCCUGCCCCGUGGCCGCUUGUCUAGUACCCUCAGUAUCUUGGGUGUCUUAGAGCCUGAUCCUUUGGGCCUUCCCUUUCCCCUCUUAGGUGGUAUGGGGUUGCCAUUAGACAAGGCUUCACCUAACUCCUCAUCACUACCAGUAUCAGAGGCAAUUAUCUGUCCUUUUUCCGACACUGUUGCCUCUUCUUCCGACACUGUUGCCCUUUCUUCAGACAUUGUUGCCCCUUCCAUCAUCUGUUUUCUUGCUACCUGGCUCCUUCGUUCUUUCCUUCCAGCUCACUUUCUUGGAGGACUAGUGAACUACUUAGGGCUUCCCACUGUAAAACACACAUCUCGAGAAAGUUACAAAACAAACAAAUGUUCUUUGUGCACCCCUUCAUUGCUUCAUAAAACUGACCUACAUGGGCACGAGAAAGUGUAGCUAACAUGUAUUGCAACAUGCACAGCCUAAACACAGAUUUUAUGUUUACUGAUUUUUCAUUUAUGUAUAUGCUAAGGUGCACAAUACUAACAAAAUCUGAUAUGAACGUCUCCAUGACAUCCCUAAUUAAGGUUGCUGCAUUGAAGCGAUUCUGAAAACUAGCUAGCUAGUAUCCUGAAUCGGUGAUUGUUUUGGUUAGUAGUAGUUAGCUAACUUUACCAGCUGUUCGAAGAAACAUAAUAUUAAUCUUUUAGGACAGGGUUUCCCACACUCUGUCCUACCCACCCCUGGGUGCACGUUUUGUUUUUUCCCUAAGCACUACAUAGCUGAUUAAAAUAAUCAAAGUUUGAUGAUGAAUUGGAUAUAUGAAUCAAAUGGGUAGUGCUUGCGCAAAAACAAAAACGUGCACACAGGGGGAGGGAGGGCCCAGGUCCGAGUUUGGGAAACCCUGUUCGAGAAGUAACUAGUUAACUAAAUGGACCUGAAAAUAAACUAGCUAAUUUGCUAACUGCGUAUAAUCGCCAGCUAUUUCGCUAGGUAGCUACCUAGAUAGUUAUCGUGACAAAGCCACCUAACUAGCUAGCUAGUUAAAUAAUGGUUAAAUAAAAUAAAAGCUAUCAAGCAGUAGCACGAACGCUUGCGACAGCCAUGGAUAGCAAGCUAGCUAGCUAGCUCACGCCGUUAGCUUGCUAGCGAAGCUAGUUUAAUGAAAAU
rnacentral:lncRNA from 1 species